AUGGUUAACGUUUAAAUGUGCCUUCAAAAUAAGAUACACCACAAACACAAAAUGCAUAAAAAUAAGACUCACCAUCGCUAUAUAUUGUGCAGAAUGGACUUGGUGCAUCGGUAUCUUCCGUUGAGAUAAGUCUGUAUUUUAAGUAGGACUCCUGAUACUGUCUAUUAAAUGUAGCCUUCUUGUUCUUGAAAGUCAUAGGCUACUAUUCUGUCUUCUGGCUGGGCCGUUUGCCAUUCCCAAAGAAAAAUUCCAAAGACGUUUGUUUUUUUACUCAUUUUGCUAUCUGCUGGACCUCUUUUUAGCGGUAACCUGUCACGUGACCGAAAGCGUCCCUUGACCUGCGUUGAGAAUGACAUACUGUAUGUAGACGGAUGUAACAUAAAAUCUGGUAAUUUUUCCAAAUAAAACAGAUUCGGAAAUAAAUAAAACGCAAGUAAUGUAAAUGAUGUAUUCGUUCUGUGCGGCCCGGUACCAAAUGAGCCACGGAACGGUACCUGAAAGGGAUCACUGUCCUAGAGUACCAUAUUUUCUUUCGAGUAAAAAGAAUGAAGCCAUUUGAGCAUUUUCUCAAUUUCCUUCAUAUCCAGUUUAAGGCCCAUACACGAGUACACUUUGCCCUCACUAGUCAAAAAUUCAGUGCAUUAUUAAAAUAAUAAAGGUGCACUAGGAGAAUGACUGUUUUUGUUGUUGUUGUUUUUCCACUACUAAUUAAUGCCUGUUUUGUCCCACUGCAAUGGAAUUAAACCCUACUAGCAAACAUCUGUGUGUCACAAAAAACACUACUAUAGGCCCAAUUCGGAGCAGUUUGUCACGCAAUAGUAGCCUCCUGGUAAUUUUGCUUCACUCGUAACAUAGUUGUCUAAACAAUAAGUCAAAGUUGCCUUACAAGUGUGCAGACAUAUCCCACUGUUGAAGAGGGAAAAAAAUCAAAAUAGUCAUUCUACUAGUUUGCUGAAAUGUCUUACGAGAGCGGACAAAGAAGCAGUUAGAUCAAUUAUUAAGUGUAAAUAUGCUUCAAUCCUGUUAUUGAGGUCUUUGAAAGCAUUUUUUAAAUGAUGCUUUCCAAAUACUUAUUUUUGCACUGUUCAGUCUUUCAGUCAUUUUUUUUGUUUAGCUACUUUUUCCCCCUUUAUUUUGCUUUAAAUGGCUAUGACUAUUUGAUUGGUAAAUGCUUUUAAAUGUUGUGCUUUUUAUGAGAAGCACACGUGAGUUACUUUUCUAUAUAAAUAAAGUUGUCUCGUCUCACUACAGCAUAACAAUUCAGAGCACUGCUAUAAUGAGUGAUGACACAACUGCACAGUUUUGCCUCGCUAGUAACAUAGUUGUUCUAAUCAUGUGUAGCAAUGUCAUACAGUAAUGGAAAAAUACAUUGUGAAUAAAACUAGUAGUACAGUGAAUAGUAUGCCCUAGUCAUUCGACUAGUGUACUAAAUUGCCUUACUGGUAAGGACAAACAGCAUACUAGUACUGUACAUGGAUCUUAAGGUAGAUCGCAAAAAGCGAUAUGCUCCAAUAGCUUGAUCCCUCGGAGACCAUUCUAUGCAAAUUAUCAUGCGCUACAUUUUAACGAUGCCCUAAGAUGUUAUUAAAUGAUAUGACAGCAUUUUUAAAGCAAGCACACGCCAGUAGAUGUACACACAUACAUACUAACAGCCUCAUGAAAGCACAGUAACACACAUUAGCAAUGCAACACACAGUUUAAUCCUCUCAUUUGUCUUUGUUUGCCUCCGUGCGCUCAUUUAGCCAUAUCCAUCACAUUUUCCCUCCUCGACGCAAUACGAAAAGCGCAAUUCAGUCCCAUGGGACCGGAGGGGAAGCUGAAGAGAAUAUCUGAUGGAGAAAGACGCUGAUGAAUAUUUCAUGUGGCACUUAUGAGACGCGCGUCUUGUCGGGUAGACCCUCAAGUCCGCAUGGCCGCCCGCUACCGUGUCAUCGUCCAUCACAAGAUUUCAGACGGUUAACACUCUCAUUCAUUUUUAAGCAGCAAUGUGGAAGGGGGCGGGGGGGGGGGGGGGGGCUGAAGGAAGAGAAGAGAGUAGGUCAACCUGGUGACCUCUGCUAUAAAAAGUGUUUUGCAUGAAUCGAUAGGGAAUUUUGAAGAGGCAGUGACCCGUCAACAUUAUCUUAUUCCUUAAAAAUACAUUUGAAAACUGUCAGGGCAGGAUAUCUUGUUUUUGUUCCUCUUGGACAUUUUGUGGUUCCUAAAAGAAAAUGGUUCAUCUAUUUUGUGAACGUGCAUGUAUGUGUGUGUGUGGGAGAGAGCGAGAGAGAAAAAGAGAGAGAGAAACUGAAUGACCAGAUAAUCUUAAAUAUGUUGUGAAGCUAGCUGAAGACAAAAAGAAGUUGAAUUUAGGUGAUAUAUCAUGUGUUUUAAUGCAACAACAAGCUGUCGAGUGAUAACAGCCGGAGGGGAGGACCAUGGAAGAGUGUUCUCAGAUAGAAGCAUAGGCUGUGUGUAAAUUGGCACGCUCAGGACAGAAAAGUUUUGGGGGGAGAAAUGAGGAAUGGACAGUAAAAUGAGGAACGGACAGUAAAAUGUCGGGCAUGUGUUGAUGGGGAUUAAGUCCAAUCGGUGUCUGCAGCUUGACGAAACCAGAAGUUCAAAAAAAAAAUCCUGCACGCUACUAAGUCAGCUCAAAUCAUUUCUGCUGCAAUAGGAUGUUUGCUGGCAAUUUGGCCUUGACCGCUAUAAAGGGGUUUGGCAAAUACUGUUGUUGUGUUUGUCUCUGGAACAGAAUCAAUUUGAGGAACAGCAUAGGUCACAUUAUAGUUGGAGAAAUUCACCUCAUGGGUACUGUGUCCAAGCAGAAAAGUAGGUCACGAUAAUAAGGGUACAUUGAAUAUUACGAGGGAAAUGUGACUUUUAAUAACCAGAGGCAGACUUAGAAUAAGGCAAACACAGGCAAUCGCCUUGGGCAUGAGAUUUGCAGAGGCCUGCAAACUUCUCCUAAAAGGACAUUAAUGACAUCUUGGAUUUAAAGUGAUUAUUACUGUUUUAGACACCUACUUAAAAACAUGAACAUGCUAAUUUAAUAAAUGUGGUCAUUUUGAGUGCUUCCCUCCUCUCAUCUUGGCAAUGGACCAUUGCAUCUUUGUUCGAGGUGUUCAUUUAUCAGAUCAUUAUGAAACCGAAUUGAAGGUAUAAAUGGUAGAAAUUGUGAAAAUGCUGCAGCAUUUGGUUGUGUUAGCUUGAGUGUUGAUUUUGUCUACCAUAGUUUAUUUUAUUAUAUUUGAUGUUUUUUUAAAUUUGUUCUAUUAAUUUAGUUUGUUGGUUAAUUGGAGCCUUUAAUGUUAUCUUGCUUAAUAUGUACUGUAUAUGUACAGCAUGUUACUGUUUAAAUGUUGAGUUUUACAAGAUUAUUAUACACACAUAUAUAAAUGAAGCCUUAAUUUUGAUUGACAAAAAUGAUCCAGAGAAGAUGUGUUUUGUUUUACUACCUUUUACUCCUUUGUUAACGUAUAAACUGUUCCAAAGGAUGCCAUGUAGUGCCAUCUUUUCUGUUUAUAUCUUUCUUGGUUCAAAUAAACAAUCAGUGGAACAGACAAGGCGAGAAGAAAACAUUCUGAUUCACACGAGUAAAGGUUUUUACAAAAUAUCCAUAAUCAACAAUGGAAGAGCCUGAAGCCCUUGCCAGUUGCAGUAUUAAAUCAAACGCUGGAGGGCUUAACUGGGGCUACACAGAUUUCUGAUGGAGCUAAAGCCCCCCUUAGCCACAGUGUAGUGCCAUCACUACGGAGGACCACAUGACUGGGUAUGCCUGGGUUUCUCAAAUGGCUACCGGUAAUUAUCCCGGCUAAUACUAAUCUUCAUUUCAAGUAUACAGUAUAUGAAGCACAAGUAAAGUAACAGAGCCCCCUAGCUGCUAAAAAAAAAAAACCUGAAUGUCCAUACUGUAUUAGAUAAAAAAUGUUUUUGGAAAGUGCUUUUCCCAAUGAAUGUCCAUAUUUCCUAAGGAUCCGCAUAAAAUAAAACACCCGUGUUGAUCGCAAGAGUAAAUAAGUUCUAUUUAAAGAACUAUAUAACUAUAUGUUGUGUGUCCAAACAAUGAAUUGAGGUUCGACGGGGACUUUCACAAUCCGUACAGGGAUUUUUCACCUUUACAGAUGUUAUUUAGAAUUAAUAGCACUCAGUGGCGGGCCGUGCAUUUCAACCUUAGGCCUUCAGUGACGUCACAUACAUUAACACAAUGCAGUAUAGGCUUGUCAAGCAGCACUUAAUUUCAGGAGCAUUUAAAGCCAUCAAGUAUGCAUUCACAAUUAAGAGCAGGAAACUAAAUUUAUAGAUAUUGUCAAAAAUAAAAA